GUGGGGAAUAUUGGGCAAUGGGCGAAAGCCUGACCCAGCAACACCGCGUGCUGGAUGAAGGCCUUCGGGUCGUAAACAGCUUUUGUAUACGAAGAAUAUGACGGUAAUAUACGAAUAAGGGUCGGCUAACUACGUGCCAGCAGCCGCGGUCAUACGUAGGACCCAAGCGUUAUCCGGAGUGACUGGGCGUAAAGAGUUGCGUAGGCGGCUUAUUAAGCGAGUAGUGAAAUCUGGUGGCUCAACCAUCAACACAUUGCUCGAACUGAUAGGCUUGAGAAUGGUAGAGGUAGUUGGAAUUUCUUGUGUAGGAGUGAAAUCCGUAGAUAUAAGAAGGAACACCAAUGGCGUAGGCAGACUACUGGACCAUUUCUGACGCUGAGGCACGAAAGCGUGGGGAGCGAACCGGAUUAGAUACCCCAGUAGUCC
rnacentral:rRNA from 1 species